rnacentral:rRNA from 1 species
GGCGAACGCUGGCGGCGUGCUUAACACAUGCAAGUCGAACGGUAAGGCCCUUCGGGGUACACGAGUGGCGAACGGGUGAGUAACACGUGGGUGAUCUGCCCUGCACUUCGGGAUAAGCCUGGGAAACUGGGUCUAAUACCGGAUAGGACUCCGGACUGCAUGGUCUGGGGUGGAAAGCUUUUGCGGGGUGGGAUGGGCCCGCGGCCUAUCAGCUUGUUGGUGGGGUGAUGGCCUACCAAGGCGACGACGGGUAGCCGGCCUGAGAGGGUGACCGGCCACACUGGGACUGAGAUACGGCCCAGACUCCUACGGGAGGCAGCAGUGGGGAAUAUUGCACAAUGGGCGCGAGCCUGAUGCAGCGACGCCGCGUGAGGGAUGACGGCCUUCGGGUUGUAAACCUCUUUCAGCAUCGACGAAGCGAAAGUGACGGUAGGUGCAGAAGAAGGACCGGCCAACUACGUGCCAGCCGCCGCGGUAA